AUGGCCGCCACCCUCGCCGCCUCUCGCCUCCUCCUCCUGCUCAUCAGCGUCGCGGCCACCGCCUCCUUCGCGCUCGGGCUCGCCGGCCGCGCGCAGCUGGACCCGCAGCAGCUGCUGGCGCUGCGCGCGCUCGGCCUCGGCGCGCGCCGCGCCGGCGACCCCUGCGACGCGGGCGGCGCCGUGGCCGCGUCCUGCGACGCGGGGGCGCCGUUCCGGCGCGUGACGUCGCUCGCCCUCACCAACUGCUCCGACACCACCUCCGUCUCCGCCGCGGCGCUCGAGGCGCUCGCGCCGUCGCUCCGCGCGCUCGCCUUCUCGGACUGCCCCGCCGCGCCGCCGCGGCUCCUCCCGCCGGAGCAGCUCGCCGCGGGUCUACUAUCCUUCUCCUGCACCGCGUCUCUCGGCCGCCUCUCCGCGGUCUGGCUCUCCCGCCUCGCCAACCUCACCGAGCUCACCGUCGCGAACACCCCUCUCGCCACCGGCUCCCCGUCCGAGCUGGCCGUGGUCAUCUCGCACAUGGACCACCUCAACCGCCUCACAAUUUCCAAUGCCAACCUAUCCGGCUUCCUCCCGCACCACUGGCACUGCCCCAACCUGACGCACCUCGACCUCUCCGGCAACCGCAUCUCCGGCGCCAUCCCCGACACCAUCACCCACCUUGGCGGCAUCACCCACCUCAACCUCAGCUCCAACGCUCUCAAAGGGCAGAUCCCCGCACACAUCGGUGACCUCAUUUGGCUCACCACCGUGGACCUGUCCAACAACUCCCUCUCCGGCGGCAUCCCGGAGACCGUCUCGACGCUGCCCGAGCUGGAGGUGCUCAACCUGGGCUCCAACCGGCUCAACGGGAGCAUACCGCCGUUCUUGUCCGAGAUGAGGGGCCUCAAGGAGCUCAACCUGGAGAACAACGACUUCGACGGCGUGGUGCCGUUCAGCGCCAGGUUCUUGUCGAGGCUACAGGUGUUCAGGGCGGCCGGGAACGGCAAGCUGUGCUACAACAGGUCGGAGCUCUCCGCCGAGGUGGCCGUGGGGGUGGCGCCGUGCGACAAGUACGGGUUCCCGGUCACGGCUCCCCCGGCAACGGCGCAGUCCGAGAAGAGCACGGCGGGCUACGACGACGGCGGCAGUGACGGUGACGCGGACGGCGGCGACGACGCUCGUGGCGGCCCCAGCGCGGUGGUUCUCGGGCUCGCCAUUGGCCUGUCCUGCCUGGCGUUCGUGAUCAUCCUGGUCGUCUGCCUCUGCAAAGUGUGCAGAUAA
rnacentral:rRNA from 1 species